AGUCCUUACAGGCUUUGCAGAGCAGAGCCAGGUCGGCACAACGGGUGGUGAGAGCCGUAUGAGAGGAGGACGCACCAAGAACCAGUCCAACGCAGCCUGCCUUCUCUCCGGGUGAUCUCGUCUGGGUAAAACGCCACGACCCUGGCAGCCUGGAACCUAGAUGGGAUGGACCCUACCAGGUGGUGCUGAGCACUCCAACCUCCAUCAAAGUUGCAGGAUAGAGGCACUGGAUCCAUCAUAUGCAGGUUAAGAAGGCGAACGACAGCGUCGAGGGAUGGCGGGCCCAGAGGACCGGAGACCCGUUAAAGAGAGGUUCGACCUGGGACCCCAAAGAAGAACUGCACUGUCGGAGAUUGCAACCCCGUCAUCCUCAUACCUCUUGCCUGGUGGACUGACCAAUGGGAAGGGGGAAAAACGUGGGGGCUAAGACUCCAUGUCAGCGGCCGAGACCCUGGCCAGCUCUUCACCAUUCAGCGCCGGACUCUUCCCCGGUGGCUCAACCCGAUUGGCCCCUUGCGUCCCCUAGACAAACAAAAGAAGCUGAGCUUGCCACAGCACCCAGCCCCAGCAAAACCUCCUGGCUCCCCUGAGUCACAAAAGCCUGAGAACCCCAGCCCCGCUCCACCUGCAGCCACAACCUCACCAGCCAUUGGGAACCUACAACAGCUUUUAGGAGCAGGCGCAGGAAGACCAAACCAGCAGCUGCUGGGAACUCUGGACUUAAUGUUUUCUUUCCUGAAUCGCUCCUCCCCAAACCUGACCGCUGAUUGCUGGCUGUGCCUUAACCCUGAACCCCCUUAUUAUGUUGGGAUAGGGGCGGAGGCCCAGCUUGGCAAGGAUGCCUCUGCCAUCAGGAACCUUUCGGCAGAAAGUCUGCCGGACGGACUGUGUAUGUGGGGACACAAACAACCACGACUCACUCUUGGAGACCUCCUGAACCCAGGGACUUGUGUGUACCCUAGGAACUACCCCCUUAGCAGUUCCACUUAUACAGAUCUAUGUAAUUCAUCUAUUAUACUUCCAAAGAAUUAUACAGGAGAGACCCCUACCUACUUAGUAGCUCCGGAGGGGACUUGGUGGGCAUGUACAACUGGUAUAACCCCUUGCAUCUUCUCUCCAGUCCUCCAGCAUCUGACGAACCCUGGACUAUGCAUUCUAACUCAUAUCCUCCCGCAGGUGUACUACUAUUCGGGAGAAGGGGGCCGAGAACAUUUAAACCUCGAACCCAAGAGGGUUAGAAGGGCCCCCAUCCUAGUCCCCCUUCUUAUGGGAAUAGGACUAGCAGGAUCCACGGCCGUCGGAACAGCCGCCCUAGCAACUGGCCACCAAAAUUAUAAAGAGUUAAGCAGGCAGAUAGAUAAAGAUUUAAGUACUCU